AUUGAACGCUGGCGGCAGGCCUAACACAUGCAAGUCGAACGAGUGGCGGACGGGUGAGUAAUGUCUGGGAAACUGCCCUAUGGAGGGGGGUAACUAAUGGAAACGGUAGCUAAUACCGCAUACCAUCGGAUGUGCCCAGAUGGGAUUAGGUAGUAGGUGGGGUAACGGCUCACGUCGGUGACGAUCCCUAGCUGGUCUGAGAGGAUGAACAGCCACACUGGAACUGAGACACGGUCCAGACUCCUACGGGAGGCAGCAGUGGGGAAUAUUGCACAAUGGGCGCAAGCCUGAUGCAGCCAUGCCGCGUGUAUGAAGAAGGCCUUCGGGUUGUAAAGUACUUUCAGCGAGGAGGCGUUACUCGCAGAAGAAGCACCGGCUAACUCCGUGCCAGCAGCCGCGGUAAUUC
rnacentral:rRNA from 1 species